rnacentral:lncRNA from 1 species
AACUCUUUUGGGACUGCGAAUACUUUGUGAUACAUUUAUUGCUAUAUUCUUUUAUGUCUUUUUUCUAAUGGGUUGUGGAUAUUAUAUGUUAACAGAGUGAAAAUGCUAAUUAUGGAUGCAAUUGUUUUGAGUGGUAUGAAAAAGAAUACAAUGAUGAAGUGCAACCAAAAAUAUAAAGUAGAUGUGUUAAUUGUUCAAAAUAUAAGGAAAAUGAUGUUGAAAUCAACACACCCAAAAGGGCCAUUAAGAAGAUCCAUGAAGAUGACAACUAUACUAAGGAGGUGAUGAAGACCAUAUUGAAGAUGUUUAAGAUGUUCGUUUUUGUCAUAAUAUUCUUAGUUUUGAUUUUUGUAGUGUUAAUGUGUAUUUUGGUCAAGUAGUGGUGACUAUGGUUAAUGUUGAUGUUAGUAUUGUAAGAAAUGUUGUUAAUGUUAUACGGUAAUCAUUUUAUUAAUGUGUUUCUUUCUUCAAUCUGAUGUUUAGAUUAUGACCAAUUUAUGUUACAGUAAGCACUUUUAAAUUAUGUAAUGGUUAGAU